rnacentral:rRNA from 1 species
CUACGGGCCGCUCCAGUGGGGAAUAUUGGACAAUGGGCGCAAGCCUGAUCCAGCCAUGCCGCGUGAGUGAUGAAGGCCCUAGGGUUGUAAAGCUCUUUCACCGGUGAAGAUAAUGACGGUAACCGGAGAAGAAGCCCCGGCUAACUUCGUGCCAGCAGCCGCGGUAAUACGAAGGGGGCUAGCGUUGUUCGGAUUUACUGGGCGUAAAGCGCACGUAGGCGGACUAUUAAGUCAGGGGUGAAAUCCCGGGGCUCAACCCCGGAACUGCCUUUGAUACUGGUAGUCUUGAGUUCGAGAGAGGUGAGUGGAAUUCCGAGUGUAGAGGUGAAAUUCGUAGAUAUUCGGAGGAACACCAGUGGCGAAGGCGGCUCACUGGCUCGAUACUGACGCUGAGGUGCGAAAGCGUGGGGAGCAAACAGGAUUAGAUACCCCGGUAGUC